GCAAUAGCUCAGUGGUAAGGGUAUCUGCUUUGCAUGCAGAAGGUCCCGGGUUCAAUCCCUGGCAACUGCA